rnacentral:rRNA from 1 species
AGUCCCCCUCUUCCCUCGGCCGCCGCAGAGAGAGAACAGCACCGCAGCGGAGAGGGGAGAGAGAGACAGAGGGAACAUGGUGGCGCCGAACGUGAAGGCAGAGACGAUGAGGCUGAUGGACCGGCGGUCGGCGCUGGAGGCGGAGAUGGACGCCAUCAUCGCCGCCCUCUCCGCGCCGGGCGGGGCGGGCAUCACGGGCUCCCUCGUCGACGCCGAGGGUUUCCCCAGGGCGGACAUCGACAUCCCCGCCGUCCUCGCCCAGCGCCGCAAGCUCGGUGAGCUGAGGAAUGACCACAAGGAUGUUACAAGCAAAAUUGAGAAGAAUCUGGAAGUUUUACACUCUACAAAAUUAACAAGAAAUGAGCAAUCAAUCCCAAGAAGUUCUGGUAUAUCAGCUCCACUGCAUGGUGGAUUGUCUCAAAAUGAUCCUAUGGAAGAGGAUGUGGUAACCAGACUUCCUUUUGCCAUAAUUGAUGACAUUGCAGAUGGUUCUCCUGCUGCUUUGGAUGGCUUGCUGCUUGGGGAUGAGAUAGUGAAGUUUGGGAGUGUAGAGGCUGGUGGCAGACUGCAAGAAAGGCUUGUUUCUGAAGCCGUUUCCAAUGAGGAUAAUCAAGUAUCUCUACUCAUCAUUCGUCAGGGAUCACCAAUGAACUUGACAAUCACACCAAGAAAGUGGCAUGGAAGAGGACUUAUGGGGUGCCAUUUCCGAAUCUUAUGAAGGGCCGGUCUAUAUAUUCAACUGAAGAAUGGCGUGCUUUCACGUCUGCACUUGUGCUGACAGCUCUUGCCGCUCAACGUUUCAAUCGAGUCGAAGUAAACUGAUAACCUGAAUGCCUGUACUUACUUUACCUGUAGCUGCGCUUAAAGUACAAUGCCACUUGUGGAACCUGUAGUUGCCUUGGUUACAAGCUUUAUUUGGUACAAUUCCUAUAGCUGCGCUUAAAGAACUAUGCCCAUCACAUUUGGUAAUGACGAUGCAGAAAACCUGGAGUCAAAAUGGAGUUGGGUCGAUCGUGUGGACGCAGAGAAAAAUAGUGUCAAUUCUCGGUGCAAUUGUGGAAAGGUCCCAUCUGGUCUUUGGCGACUUGGUCUUACAUACACAACGCAGACUGCUCAACAAGAACAACAGCACGUCGGUCACUUGUAUACGCGUGGCGACUUAGUGAGAAUGCAUCGCUUCAGGAAUUGUUCGGCCUCGCAUGGGAGCAUUAAGCAUCCACCUAAUAAGCUUUAGCCCAACUUUAGACUAUCGGCUGUUGUUAAUUAGCCCUAAAUCGGCAGCCGGUUGCCAGAAACUGCG